CAUUCUUGUUGCCCUGUACACAGCUUUGCGUUGUAUGAUUGUUACUAUUUCUCCCUGCAUUCUCUCCUUUGCAUUGUCUGACUAUUACAUGAUUAAUAGAUGAACAAUCCUAUAUCCGCAAUGAAAGGCAAGGGACAAGCUCCUGUGACUAAAUACCUAGAUAUGGUUUUGUUCUGAUUGUAUAUGUGAUGAUUUUAUCCAUGUGUAUGUAUGUGGUCUUCAAAGUUGUUGAAAGAUUGAAAGCGUAAGCAAGUUCGCCAAAUUCCUUCGGUACUUUCAAAGAAAUCAAUGUCCCAUCUGUCUAUGGAAAACUCUAAGAAGGCUCGAUUGGCACAUGAAGCUCUUAAAUACUUGAGAGCCUUUUACAACAAGGUCCUAUAAGACUACAUACAUAUAUUACACCGGUUGUCCCAGCUCAUAGUUGGUUGUCAUCAGUCCGGUUGGUUGAACAAGGUCCUAUAAGACUACAUACAUAUAUUGCUACAGAUAUGGUGUUGCCAUUUUAUUGCUACAGAUAUGGUUGUUCUGAUUGUAUACAUACAUAUAAUUCUGCAGUUUG